AUGUCUCUCUCUCUCCCGGGCGCGUAUUGCCGAAAAGAAGGUUUUGCUUCAGUUGUGCUACUCUAGACCUGCGGAAGACAGGUGCUGCAUGCAAAGGCCUAAGUCCCGCGAUAUGCAGAGAGUGUACACCAGUCUGUGCUCGAAGGCUCAGAUCCAAUAUCGGUAGCGGAAGAAUUAGACUUGUGUAAGCCUGAGGCCUGGACCAUAAAGUCUAAAAUUAAGUAUAGGCCGGGGGCAGCAGCAGAAGAUUGGACUGGAACCCGAGAAGGACAAAAACUAGAUAUCUUUUGUGGAAGUUACUUACAAUCGGGCUUCACUAAUCUGUAG